GGGGGGUCCAUCAGUCCAUCAGGAGAGGCUUUCCACUAAGAAUCAAAGAGCACACGUGUUACUGUCUGCAGCCUCCUGCAAUACGUGACUCUUAACGUCUUCAUGUCCAUGUGGGGGGUGGGGGGGGGUCCACUACGUGCCAUUAAGACCAUGUGGCAGCAGUUAAGAUGGUUGACUGUAUCUGCACUGGUGUGUAGAGAUGGAUCUCCCCCCCGGCCCCCCAAACUCGCUCUCUCUGGACAAACGGUCAACCGCUUACAACAAUAGGCGCAGUGUUCUUAGUCUGUUCUCAGUCUGUUCUCAGUCUGUUCUGUUCUCAGUCUGUUCUCGGUCUGUUCUCGGUCUGUUCUCGGUCUGUUCUUAGUCUGUUCUGUUCUCAGUCUGUUCUCAGUCUGUUCUCAGUCUGUUCUGUUCUCAGUCUGUUCUUAGUCUGUUCUUAGUCUGUUCUGUUCUCAGUCUGUUCUCAGUCUGUUCUUAGUCUGUUCUUAGUCUGUUCUCAGUCUGUUCUCAGUCUGUUCUGUUCUCAGUCUGUUCUUUGUCUGUUCUCAGUCUGUUCUCAGUCUGUUCUGUUCUCAGUCUGUUCUCAGUCUGUUCUUAGUCUGUUCUUAGUCUGUUCUCAGUCUGUUCUGUUCUCAGUCUGUUCUCAGUCUGUUCUUAGUCUGUUCUUAGUCUGUUCUCAGUCUGUUCUCAGUCUGUUCUGUUCUCAGUCUGUUCUUAGUCUGUUCUCGGUCUGUUCUCAGUCUGUUCUCAGUCUGUUCUCAGUCUGUUCUCAGUCUGUUCUCAGGACCGUCUUUGAAAACCACCGACCUUGCGUGUCUCCUCAGAGGUCACACCUCCCGGCACGUGUCCGCUUUCGAAAACGAACAUCCAGACGUUCACUUCGACAAGGCCGCAGGCUUGUUUGGACGCGGUGCGCGGUCGUCAGCCCG
ensembl:lncRNA